UAAGAACUAAGAAUCACUCUUAACCUUCUUAAAGAUUUUCUUUUACACAAGAUGAACAAGGCUUCGAUUACUAUGUUUUUGGUAGUUGCUUUCUUGGUCGUUUCAUGCGAUAUGGUGGAAAGCCGAAGGUCGUGUAAGACGACAAAACAGUGUCAAUCCAUGGAAGGUGUAAACAUGUAUCCACAUUGUGUUUGUGUUGAUGGGACAUGUGUAUGCUCUUCUAUCGAUCAUGAAGAUAAUGGUUUAGGUGGCAAGUUUUAACCUUGCAAGAAUGUUAAAAAUGUCUCAUUUGAUGAUGAAGACUAUAUAUGUGAUAAUGUUUACUUGAUGAAAUAAAUUGGAAUAAAAUUAGUUGGUUGCAUCA